ACUACCUACCAAAUCCUUAUCAAAAAAAAAAAAAAAAAAAAACUACCUACCAAAUCAAUCCUCCUUUUACUUUUCUCUUGAGUUUGAAUUCAUCAAGAGUUUGGGCUAUGAGUUGUAUUGUGUUGCAUAUGAUUUCAGUUAGCCUUACACGUAGGGGUGUCGACAGACCCACCGAGCCCAACCUACUCGAAGGAUUUGACCGGACUCGAAUUGGACUCAAUCCGAUCUGGUGACUGUGGCAGUCUAGAACAGGUCUCUACCUUCAAAAUUGAACCUGAGAAGGAUGAAAUCCCUGUAAAUGGGAAUUCAUUUUACAGGUUGGAGAUGACUAGAAUUCAGCUGUUCUCCUCACAUGGAAAUCCCUGUAUGUUUAAUGGGUUUUUAGUGUUUUCUCAAGGCUUUCAACCAUAAACUAAUCACUGUUCGUACUGGAUGGGCCCACGAAGGGGUAAAACACUAUCCCAGGAAAUUCUUUUCAAAGUGCAGGUAACAGGACUCGAACUAGGGAGCACACCUAGUCGAGCCCAGUAGAAGUACUUUGAGAACAAGAGCCCAACCAACUCGGCCAACCCCCUGGAUUAAUACUGAAUAUUUUGACUGUUGUUGAGGUAGAAGACUUCGUGAAAACCUGAUGCUAUUGCACACUCAGCAGCCAAAAUUAUAUCUCGUCUAAAAGCUGGUGGAGAAAAGACCAUACAGGCCCUCAAAUCUCUUUGUUGGAGAUGUAAGGGUAUUCAAGUGGAGGAGGCAGCACUUACUGGUGUAGAUUCCCUCGGGUUUGACGUAAAGGUUUGUUCAGGAACACAAGUACAAACAUUGCGGUUUGCAUUUAAUACACAGGCCCCUUCAGAGUACAGUGCUGAGAGACAGCUUAAUGAUCUACUAUUCCCUAGGAUCCACCACAAGCCACAAAUGAUGAAACAAACACCAAAAUGAGUGCUAAUAUUGACAAAUAGCAUAUUCCAGUUUAAUUCUGGAUGGUUUUUGUACUCUCUUGGUCAAGAUUUGAAUGGAAAAGGUCAAGGGUGACAGAAAAAGAAAAAAUCCAUAGACAGUCACCAGCUUAUGUAAUUGUUAUUUGCAACUAAUGUUACAGAAAUUCAAAUUUUUUAUCAAGCAUCUCUACUAUUACUCAUCCAUACUUGCUCUAUUACUCGGGCUAUUUAGUUUC